GGUUUACAAGUGAAUUCGAGAACGCCUUAUGUGAAAAAGCGAUGGUGAUUUCCCACGUCUCAGGUGGUUAGUCUUGAGAUGUUAUUAGUUGGAAAAGUUCCCUUGGUGUUCAAAAAAAAAAAAUUGAACCUGCGGUGAAUUAAGUUGGAUUGGUGUGGCACUUCCUUUGUUGCUUUUGCUAAGCAGAUUCAAGACUGGGCAAGUUGAAAUGGGAAACUGAAAAUUUGAGAUAAUUAAAAGUUACAAAUGAAUUGGUUCCUCAUCAACUGAUCUUCAAUUCAAAACUCAAGUUUCUUGUUUGAUGCUUUUCUCCCCUUGUAAGGUCAUUAAAGAUGACUUAGGCCCAAUUUCACCAAUGGAUGGUGCAGUAUUAAUCCCAUGAUUUUGGAUAAUCCCUCUGUAACUCUUCAAAUUGGUCUAUGUUUCUUUCCUACGGAAGAAGUUGAGAUUGAGUGGGCUUAAUCUAUCCCUCUGAGAGGCAUUUAACAGCUUAAAGGUGCUCAAGCUAGAAAGCGCCUUCCAUUUAAAAGUGCUUUUGUCUGAGAUUCUGUUAUUGUCGCGAAGAGAUUCCUAAGAGUUCUGUAGAUAUU